UACGUAGGCAGCGAGCGUUGUUCGGAGUUACUGGGCGUAAAGGGUGUGUAGGCGGUUGUUUAAGUUUGGUGUGAAAUCUCCCGGCUCAACUGGGAGGGUGCGCCGAAUACUGAGCGACUAGAGUGCGGGAGAGGAAAGUGGAAUUCCUGGUGUAGCGGUGAAAUGCGUAGAUAUCAGGAGGAACACCGGUGGUGUAGACGGUCCCCUGGGCCGAGGCCGACGCUGAGGCGCGAGAGCUCGGGGAGCGAACAGG
rnacentral:rRNA from 1 species